rnacentral:rRNA from 1 species
UGAGUAACACGUGGGCAAUCUGCCCUGCACUCUGGGACAAGCCCUGGAAACGGGGUCUAAUACCGGAUACUGACCCGCUUGGGCAUCCAAGCGGUUCGAAAGCUCCGGCGGUGCAGGAUGAGCCCGCGGCCUAUCAGCUUGUUGGUGAGGUAAUGGCUCACCAAGGCGACGACGGGUAGCCGGCCUGAGAGGGCGACCGGCCACACUGGGACUGAGACACGGCCCAGACUCCUACGGGAGGCAGCAGUGGGGAAUAUUGCACAAUGGGCGAAAGCCUGAUGCAGCGACGCCGCGUGAGGGAUGACGGCCUUCGGGUUGUAAACCUCUUUCAGCAGGGAAGAAGCGAAAGUGACGGUACCUGCAGAAGAAGCGCCGGCUAACUACGUGCCAGCAGCCGCGGUAAUACGUAGGGCGCGAGCGUUGUCCGGAAUUAUUGGGCGUAAAGAGCUCGUAGGCGGCUUGUCACGUCGGUUGUGAAAGCCCGGGGCUUAACCCCGGGUCUGCAGUCGAUACGGGCAGGCUAGAGUUCGGUAGGGGAGAUCGGAAUUCCUGGUGUAGCGGUGAAAUGCGCAGAUAUCAGGAGGAACACCGGUGGCGAAGGCGGAUCUCUGGGCCGAUACUGACGCUGAGGAGCGAAAGCGUGGGGAGCGAACAGGAUUAGAUACCCUGGUAGUCCACGCCGUAAACGGUGGGCACUAGGUGUGGGCGACAUUCCACGUCGUCCGUGCCGCAGCUAACGCAUUAAGUGCCCCGCCUGGGG